UCCAGAGGAGUUUCCUGCAGAUGUUAAAAGAUAUCAUAGAAAAAGAUAAGUGCCGUAUUUUAUGCUUAUGUUCCACAUGGUUUAUAGAUCUUGGUGAUUUGCGAAUGGACCUGGACCAUAUCAGAUUAAGCCAAAUCAAACCAACACAUAUGUGCCGUGACCAUGUCAGUAUCUUCCAGUCAAAGUUUACGCAUAUCCACCUGGUUAAACAAAGCCACAUUUUUGGAGUGUUGGAUCCAUGUAUAUAUUGCCCUUAAAUUAGCAGCCUUAAGCAGUGUUAAGGCAACAUGACAGAAGUGGAAACAGCAAAUUUGCUCAACACAGGAGUGGAAACAAAGCACCACACAUUACAUUUGUGAUCCAACAUGCGUCCUACAUACUUUUCCUGAAGGACUGCUGAGUUGACUAAAUUAGUAAGUUAUAAUUAAUAUUUUUACUUUUAUCUGUCACAUAUCCAAAUAAACUCAGCCAAAUAUUAGAUAAUGUAAUGUCUAUAUUACGGUAGGGUAUGCUACUGCAAAGAUCUACUGAUUCAUAGCGUGAAGUACAGUGCUGUUUACCAUUAUAUCUAAUAUGUAUAUAAAGCUGACCAUGCACGUGUGUGUGUGUGUGUGUGUGUGUGUGUGUGUGUGUGUGUGUGUGUGUGUGUGUGUGUGUGUGUGUGUGUGUGUGUGUGUGUGCGUGUGUGUGUGUGUGUUUGCGUUCGCUAUGCACAGCCACAGUAAUUAAGCAAUUGACACCAAACUUGUUAUGGUGACUGGAGGCACCAAAGGGGAGGUCCCUGGGGUCCUUAGGUUGAAAGCGUAUGUGUGCGAACACACACACACACACACGGUCAGCCUUAUAUAUUAGAUCACGACCCGCUCACUAGAGCCCUUAUUUUCGCAGUUCACAUGGUACUCAGGUCAGGUAGCAAGCAUCACACUUUACCUACUAUAUAGUAGUGGCUGGCUAGGGUGCACUUUAAUUACAAUCCGAAUGAGCCGGCCUGUGCCCCGUGCAAGUUACGUUUAUUUUUUCAAUAAAAAUAGAUGGUGAGUGAAGGUGUUUGCCUUGUCAAAUUUUUUUGAACAGAAUCAAAUAUUAGAUACAUGGAGUGUGUGACUUGUGAUAUUGCAAUAGCUUUUCAUCUGUACUGCAAAUUACUGAUUGGUAACUUGAAACCAUGCUCUGGGAUAUUUCAACACCUAUUUUGCACAUUGUUCCAGACAUCACUAUAUGGGCAAAUACUACACAAAAUGUACAACAGAACAGGAAACUAAAACCAGAAAUAAACUACAAGGCACUCAGAGAGUGGAUAACUCUGCCAGUGCCACAUAUACAAUUGGUCCAGGGGCAAAAAUUCUAUCGCCCCCAAGCUAUUAAAUUUGGCGAUGCUGAUUGGCCAAAUAUUUAUUAUUUUUCCUUAGCAACCGUACACAACUGGUCAUUUUUCUGCACUUCAAGGGGCUCUUUGAGUGAUCACCCAAGAAGAGAAAUGGUACGUUCUGUUGGUGGAAAUACACUGUUGAAUGAGAGUCAGUUGGUGGAAAUGUUGUUUGAAUAAUUCAGAUUACAUGUAGGCACAUACUAUUAAGUAAAACUAACUGACAUUAAUUAUACUUUUUUAAAAUAUAUUUUAUAAUUUUUCCUCUCCACAUCUGGGAGGGCAGCGCCAAAGCGCCUCUUAUGGGGCAGCCACCACUGUCAGGGACAAGCUGUUUUCCCUCCUGCCCUCAGGUAGAUGGUACUGUAACCUGAGCUGCAAAAUAUGCAGAUUCAAGGACAGCUUUUACCUAACCACCAUUAGACAGUUAAAUACAAAUCGACAGAACUGUGCAAUAUAGAACUGUAACAUCUGGUAGCAACUUUAUCCUUGUUGCAUCUUCAUAUGUGCAAUAUCACGUGUCCUUUAUUUAUUAUUGCGUUGUGUAUACACAGAUACAAAGACAGUUAUGAAUAGGUUUUAAAAAAAACCCUAUUUAUCACCAUCACACACCUUGGACUGGUACUCUGUGCUUUAUUCUGUGUUGUUAUCUAUUCGAGCAGUACAUCGAUAUUUCAUUCUGUGACCACAUCUGUGAUGUUUUUUACUGAAUGGCAAUAAAAACGAGCCUAUCUAUAUUCUCUAUCACUCCGACACUGUAUGGACCACUGAUGGAAAGAAGCUGUUGUGCAGCUCCUGCCCUCCUCCUGCACUGUACUGAGCAGAUUCCAGUAGGAGCAAACACUGUAACAUGUAUGGAGUGAUCCUGCGGUUCUAAACUUGAUGUGUUUAUGAUCUAACAGGCAUCAUCACCCUCCAGUGUAUCGGCAGGUUACCGCUCACAUAAGGAGGAGGAAAUGAAAAAGUAGGCAAAGAGAAUGUUUUUCUGCACACUCCUCAAAUGUGACUUUCCCACAAGGAUGGGCAAGUAAGAUUUUCUGCAUCACAGAUUUGAACAGCCAAGGGGUCAGUGGGCAGAGGACCAAGAGCAGAAUGAAGGAAAGAAGCUAAAGCAGAGGGAGACCGGACAUGGCAGGGGUGUGAAGUGCAAAGACUCAAACAUGAACACACAUGAACUCACAGUUGUAUUCUCUAGGUAAUUAUGUCAUGAUGUGUGAGGAUUAGAUUGCUGCACUGCUCGUUUCUUCAUGGCAUCACAGUGUGGUGAUGUUUUUGACUUCAAAGGAAAUGGUGCGUGUGCAUGAUUUUGGUGUGUUCUCUUUGUGGUCUGAAGUAUUGAGCAAAACUAUUAAGUUAUUACAGAUUAGUUAUUUUCUGAACCACGUCUGGAGAAUCGGGUCCAGACAUUGUUCUGACUUGCCCAUUUUCACAGGAGUGUCUGUGUUGCACCUAUAGAGGCUUAUUUAAAAUGCUGUAUCUGGUUUAGCAACAGGAGACAGGAGAUAAUGCUAGUGGUGAUCACAGUUCAGCUAACAGCUAAUUAACAAAGCUAACUUAUUAGCGGGGAAAGUCCACUAGUCCUUUGAUCACGCAAAAACCGGGGAGAGCUAACAUUUACAAUUUGGCAUGCUUAUGUAUUUUGGAUCAAGGGU